UACGGAGGGGGCUAGCGUUGUUCGGAAUUACUGGGCGUAAAGCGCGUGUAGGCGGCUAAGUAAGUCGGGCGUGAAAUCCCACGGCUCAACCUGGAUGACGAUGCUCGAAACUGCAUAGCUAGAGUCCUGGAGAGGAAGGUGGAAUGCUUGGUGUAGAGGUGAAAUUCGUAGAUAUCAAGCGGAACACCGGUGGCGAAGGCG
rnacentral:rRNA from 1 species